GCCUCGGUGGCUCAGUGGUUGAGCAUCUGCCUUUGGCCCAGGGCAGAUCCCAGGAUCUCGGGAUCGAGUCCCGCACUGGGCU
rnacentral:tRNA from 1 species